UAAAAGGCAAACUUGUUGAAAGACAGGGACGCAAAGCCAAGGGUCUAAGGUCUCAGGACUAUGACAGCCGGUUGCCGC
rnacentral:ncRNA from 1 species